CGAUCACAAGCGCACCAAGCCGGCCGCCGCCCACCGACCGAGCAGCUCUCGAACCACAGACGGCACUAUUGUUAGCAAUACCUUGCUAAUAUAGCUUCCACCGGCCAUUGCCGUCUGCGUAGUUCGGGUUGAUUUUUGGUUUGACGUUUAUUCUAACGUUAUUUCUGAAAUGAAUGCCUUCUUAUCAAAGUAUUCUUACCCUUAUUCUUACAUGAUCGCUGUUGGCGAUUUUCCUCCAAUGCUUUGCAGACUGAAAGGCUCAAGAUUUAAAGCACCGCCAAACCGACCAGGGAAAAUGGCUCCGAGCCUUUUGGCGUAAUCGGUUGCGUCGCUGGGUUUGUGGUCUGGCGUCCCGGGUUCGGCGCGGGUCUCUUUCUGUCUGCCUCUACACCAUUCGUACAUCCGGACCUGCAAUGCGUGGGUCAUCUCCCUCAAAAGUCUUUCUUUAACAUACAUAGCAUUAGAUCUAAGCUGAGUCUGCUACCAAAACUUGUCCCUCAAAAUGCAGGAAAUUGCGUUUCAGAUGGUCCAGAUUUCGAAAUUUCCCAGACCAACCUUUAAACAGCUCGCGCCUUAGGCGCUGAAAAUCAUGAAAAGAUACUACGGGGUAUCGCCCUCAAUAGCUGAAACCAUGUGUCUUUUUAAUAGAAUUAGCUUAGUCUGCCGGAAAAUUUGCCACUGAAAAUGCAGGAAAUGGCGAAUUUUCCUCGGGAAGCAUGCCCCUAAACCCCCCUAGGAUGGUUGCGCCUACUGACACCAUUUUCACUUAGGGCCAUCGUACUACGACAAAAGCAUAGUUUUUUGGCCACGCCCAAGACCGUCGUCGAUAUCACGAUCCAGCCCUCUGUUCUCUGUUCACAAACUUCACACCACAUCAUCGACUAGUAAUCAUCGACCACCGGUUUCGCUAACACUAUGGCCUACACAUAUAUUGGCUUAGCCAGUUUCCCCCAAUUCAAAUGGGACGACUUCGUUGUAAGUUCAACUUUGAGGUUUUUUUCAGUUUCUUUUCUAGUCCACUGCUUUUACCUAUUUAACGUUACGUGUAUAACGUUUGGAUGAAGGUACCGUUUACUUGCCAUUAGACUAGACAAAAGGGCACAUUGCUUUAGUUUAACGGUUGUGUUUGCGUAUAAGCUAUUAACAUUCUUUACUUCGAUUCGUUUUUCAACUUCACUCAAAAACUAUGUGCUGUUCUUAUAACAGAUCAACAACGACCCGCUGUGCUGUUCUUGGCAGGCUGUGUGCAAUGCGCACGAGAGCGCAGGGGUUGGAAUAAGCUGCAGCGCUGUCUUGAGAGGAUACCACCUGAAGCAUUCAACAGAGCUACGUCUCGAGGUAAUCCAGGUGUAUCCCACGGGGCCGGCUCUCGCUGUAUACAUCUAUGAGGGGCAGGACCUGAACUGAAGGCGCAGAACAACAAAACGACUAUCCGCCUUUUAACAUCAAUCAAAAGCACCAACAAACUAAAAACAUAUUCGAAAAUCAAAAAACACUUUGGUAUGGAAGAAUAUCUCAAAUCAAUUCAUAAUAGACCAUUUAGAUACAGC